CGGAGGAGGGGAACAGUGCUGACUCGGGUCUCUCCCCAGUAGCGUAUUUUGGCUCUCUGACUCAGAUCAUGACUCAGAUCCCAUGCUUUGUUUUCAGUGGCACAGAAAGCAGUACGUAAAUGGUUUCACCGUCAAUGUUUUAUUGCCUGUUUCACCUUCAGAGCUAAAGGAGAUCAGCAGUGCUGUGGAGGAGGGGUGUUCAGAUAUGCUGGGUCUGUGUUCGGAGGCAGAAACAAAGAAAGAGUUCUCUCCUAUCGGUGAUGGAAUCAUUAAUAAUUCUCUGCCAGGAAGUGACGAAAAAGGACUAUUAAAUUGUUCCAUGAAGUCAGCAAGAGAUUUGAAUGUUAACCAGAAACAAUAACCAAAUAUCCAGCUCUGGCUGCCUCAAUUAUCAUUUACAAAAUGUCUACAUUGAAAAAUGCAUGAAUCAGCAAUACCACUGAUGAAAUUAUACCCUGAAAAUCCUGAAACACCAAUUCAAAAGAACCUAUGUACCUCAGUGUUCACAGCAGCCCAAUUUACAAUAACCAAGUGUUGGAAGCAACCUAAAUGCCUACCAGUGAGUGGAUAAAAAAAACUAUGGUACAUUUACACAAUGGAAUUUUAUACAGCAGAAAGAAAGAAGGAGCUCCUACCCUUGAUGACAGCAUACAUGGAUUUGGAGAGCAUUAUGCUCAAUGAAAUAAUGAAAUAAGCCGGGUGAUGAAAGAUAAAUACCAUGUGAUCUCACCUAUAAAUGGAACUGAAUCAACAAAACAAACAAGCAAGCAAAAGAGAACCAGAGACAUUGAAAUAAACAGCAAACUGACAGUAACCAGAGAGGAGAGGGGAGAGAGAUACAGGAGAAAAUAGGGGAAGGGCCACCAAGGAACAUGUAUAAAGGACACAUGGACAAAGCCAAAGGAGAUAGAUUCCCCCUUUGAGGGAACCUGGGAGGUGGGUAUGGGUGACACGGGGGACUGUGGUGGAGU